CUUGAACCCGGUUUGUUCCUGUGCAAGCAACUCCUGGACAGCUUUGGCAAAUCCAGCUCUUAUAACUCUUGAACCGGACCUUGUGGUAGGGCCUUUGCGGAUAAUGGGAACCUCAGUCGUGGGUACUACAACAUCCCCUCCCUCUUGAACAGGUUCUGUCCUCAGAACAUCUCCGUCAUCUGCAAUAUAAGGAGACAAGUCAGACACAUUGAACGUUCGGGAAACUUGGAACUCACCUGGCAGUUCUAGCCGGUAGGCAUUGUCAUUGAUCCGAUCGAGCACUCGGAAUGGUCCGUCUCCUCGUGGGGAUAAUUUGCUCUUCCUCUCUUCCGGAAACCGUUCUGGCCUCAUGUGGAGCCACACCCAGUCGCCUGGCUG
rnacentral:lncRNA from 1 species